AACUGAUUGAACGAUCAUAUUCAGCAAUCGAGAGAAGCGAUUUAAUUUUAUUAUACAAAGAACGUAAUUUAAUUCCGUUAUUUAAGUAUACGUAUGAUCGUUGAGAAAUUUGGUAUAAUAUUAAACAUAGACACGCAUAUGGAUCUUUUAAAAUAUGAAAUGUCAAGGAGGCAAUGAUACUUGAAAAUUUCUGAAAACUUUCCAGAUUUUCCUUGUAUUUCGCAAGUAUCUUAUUAAAUUUUAUUACAUGCAUGCACAUAUGAACGAUAAUAUGAACUAUCGUAAAUUGAAUUCUCAGGUGUAGCUAUAUUUGUAGACUCUAACAUGUUUGAUAACUUAUCGGAGUCUAAAUAAAUUAGCCGACGUAAACUGAGAACCUUUAUCGUAGAAUAACGCAGGAGUUUCGAAGUCAUUUCCGCGCUAAGUGUUGAAGCUAUUCUUGAACGUGAAAUAAUAUAGGAGUUCCGAAGUUACUUUCCUCAUGAAAUAUUGCAAAAGUUUCGAAGUUACUUUUCGACAUAACGUAAUCGUUUUGCAGUUACUCUUACGUUAGGUAUCAAAGUUACUCUGGAACGUAUAUACGAAUGUGCUAAUCAAAAUUUCAAGUAAUAUCGUGGCUGACUGUUUCGACUUCUGUAAUUUAUUUUCUUCCUUUCUUAUUUUUAAAAUUACGCAAGUUAUAAUGAAAGCAACUGUACGUUUCCUGCAUAGAACGUUAAUAUCACUUUUUAAAAGAACUAGAAAAGAGAAUAAGCUUAUUUUUGACGUAAUUAAAAGUAAAUGUUAGCAAAUUAAUUAUAUAAAACAACGAAAUUGCAAACAAGCGUUAAUUAUAACGCUUUUAAAAUUUCGUUAAACGUUCUUAUCGCAUAACACGCAUCUAUAGCACAUAUUAUUAAGUCACUUUUCCAUAAUUAUAAUUACGGAAAUAAUAUUUCGAAUUAUUAAUUCUUCUUAAUCUAAAUACCGAGAAACAAUUCUUACGAAGUUACUAAGAAGAACAAAGUAAAAGUGAAGCGGUCGAUGUUUAAUAAAUAAAACAGAUUCACGUGAAUCCACAAUAAAACGCUAUGGACAUUUUGCUUCGUAGACUCUAACCACGACUCAAAGUCGACCAAUUGACACAGGAAGCACAAUUAUAAAACAUGGUACUGUGAAAUCGACGUAAUUAUAGAAUUAUAUCGGCGAUAAAGAAGACGGUAGUUCGGUCUGUACUAAUGAAAGCAAUUAGCAGAAAUUACCGCCCUAAUUAGCUGGUCGUGAUUACUGCCGCAUCGCGGAAACUGCGGAUCCUUUCGUUCCUUUCCUUCCGCCGUCCCUUUUUUUCUUUUUCUUUUCUUCUUUUUUUGUUUUCUUUUUCAUCUUUCCUUCUCUCCUCUCGUCUGUCUCCUUUUCUUUCUUUUUCUCUUUCCCUUCUGUUCCUACGUUCCCUUCUACGUAACGGAGAAUUGAUUCCAUAGCCUUCAAGACGAGCAUCUACAAUUUGUUGCCAGUUCCAUGCGCUUCUGCUCACGUUCACGGAGCAAUUUCAUGAAUAUAUCUGCAUACCGUUAGGAACGAGUUUCGAAAAGAAAAAGAGAAGUCAGAAAACGAAGCGGAGGCAGUAGAGAAUAAGUGGACGUAGGGGGAUGAAGAUAAAACGAGGACCAAGAUGACGAAGAACGGAAGAAAAGAAACAACGUGAUAGGAUCGAAGAGAGGCCGACCGCGAUGCGAGGAGAUUGAUGACAUUAUCGCGUGGAAUUCGCAAUAAGGCGGUCUUUAAAGCCACCCGACAUUCCCAAAACCACACGUGCCUUCACAUGCAUAAUCGAACGAGAAGAAGAAAAUCCGUGGCUCUAAGUGCAGUUUCACGAUUCCUACUUUUAAUACAAUGGAUGAAGGUCUGGAAUAUCGGAUACCUAAAAACAUUGCUUCGUAUUAUACAUUUUCAAUAAAUGAAGCGACGAGUGUCGAGCAAGGAAUGUUGUUUGUUAAUGUUGAAAUAAAGGUUUGGCAUAUCAAUGCAACGAUGUUCCUUGCAAGCGGAUUAAAUAUCGGCUUGACGCAAGAUGCUACGAUAGAAGGCAGCAAGGUUCUGCGAUCACACAAGUACAACGAUCGUGCAAUUGAAAUGAUAAGCGAUAUAAAUGCUGAGAAUGUAAAAGAAAGUGCGAGAGAGCGUAAAUUAUACGUGGAGCAAGGUGAAGAAAGUUUGCCACUGACGAUUAAUGUAACGUGUGGUAGUUUAGAAACGAUAAAAACCUGCUGCCACGUUAGCAGCUAUUAACUUGUUAACAUUAUCAGUAGACGCGAACGAAGUAAACAGUACGGAAGACAAGCGUGAAACGAAAGUAUUUAAACGAAUUGCAGCAGGUCAGAGAAAUGAAAUUCCUGCCGUCUCUCUAAAUAUUUCUCUUAGCAUUAGCGGCGACAGAAUCAAAAACGCGAUUCUAAUUGCGUUUGCUUACUUUGAAAGAGGAAUUCUCGGAGGAUGAACGGAGGCACCAAUUUCUGCGAUUAUAUUCGCGGCAGAUGUUUGCAGCGGAACGUCGAAGAAAGUAGCAGUCGCGAGAUUAAAAUGGCCCCAACGUUGCCUGGGCGCAAUCUGUUUAAUUGUAAAGCGUUCCCUACCGAAUGAAGCGGCAAAAAAAAGCCUGUUUCACGGAAGUUCUCCACGCUCUUGGCCAACGUUUUAUGCUUGUGAAAAUGAAGGGAAAUUGAGGUUACGAAAUUAAAGAAUCUUUGAUAGUUUGGUCACUGACGAUAGCCAGGAAGGAUAUUGGUUAAUGCUGUGAAACUUGUAAGAGGAGUAUCGCAAGCAUCUGGAUCUUGUCAAACGAUUAAUCAUUCUCGUUGAAUGUUCACUCGUGGUAAAACACGAUAGUUGCUCAAUAACUUUGCUCCAGUUGUUUUGGAAUACUACUGGACUUCAUUUAUCAAUCGUUUAAUAAUUAUACAAUCGAAAAAAUUGGUCUCUUUUAAAUAAAUAUUCAUCCUCCGUUGAAUUUGAUUCGAGUAUGUCUAAGUACUUUGAAAUAAUUCUCAACUUGUUUUUAAUAUUUCUAUACGCUUAUUAGAUCGUUAAUGGCAAAUAUUUCUUUUCGAGGUCCUCUUUCGUCCAUCUCAAGAUCACAAAACAUUCAAACAGACAUUAUUUCCAUUUGUGUAUCAUUUUCUACAUAAGGCUCGAUCUAUUACUUUUUUCGUACAUGGUACGUUAUAUACUAUUACAGAGUAUUUAAUAUAUAGUAUAUCAUAUGCUUAAAGCAAGUAUACGGUCUGCUUCUUUCAAAGUGAAUUGCAGUUUCUGAGCCAUUCUUCUUUUUCUUCGUGAGUACAAGUCUAGUACUCCGAACUGCUCCGAAACAGCGAGAAUACCAAGUUUUUACAAAUCCGAAAUUAACAAACUUAUAUUUAAAUACGAAAGAGGAAACAUAUACAAACCAGUCGGCGCCGAUCAUAAACUUGAUAAUGUUGAUACAAUUGACUUAAUAUUUGGAUUAAGUAAUACAUUCGAUUUUAAACAACUUCAUAAUCGUUACUUCGCAUAUACACUAAACGUGUCGAUAAAAACAAUUUCAUUCUACUCCUUUGAAAUCACUCCUUUGAAAAGAAAUCUCUGCUUCGUCGUUACUUCCUGGUAAUCUCCGUUAUAAGAAAUAUUCCACAAAUUACCUCCCAAGAAAACAGAAGGAUCUAAUUUAGAAGACCACGGGGAACUAAAUCGAUAACAACGAGAACAUCGAGCAAAAAGCCAACGAUUAUCCGUAUGCCGCUAGUUGCAUAACCCUUGCAGUUGCAAAACACGGACGAGCGAGUUUUACUUUCAAAGGUCGAGUUCUGUGGCGCCAAGGUCGGCCAUCGUAAUAUGCGGUUUAUUUGUAUUGACGAUCGCUUUCACUAGCGAAAGUUCUUUUCCACGCGCUUAUCCGAUCUCGAGACAAAGAGACACAGAAGGACGCGCUAGAAAUGACGGGAAAAGGGAGCAAGAAGAAAAAGAGGAAUAGAAGGGAAGAAUAAUUGCACGGGUCGAUCGUGUAAUUCAUUAGGCGAAAGACGAGCCGGUGAAUGGACAGCAAUUUUCGGUAAUCGCCGAUUGCACGACUCGAUGAGUCGUUAUUCAGAUCCACGUUACGUAUACCGUUGCUGCUAGCCAGAGUGGAAGAAAAGGUCUUCAGGAUUAAAAGUUGCAGAGCUGUCGAGUGGCGGAGCCAGAGACAGGAGCCAGGAAAGCAGAGCCGUUGUUAAAGAGGGGAGAAAAUUUACGCCUGAAAAGAGAUGCUAGGCGGAGAAAGAAGGGAACGAGAGGGCUCCAGAUGUACGGGGUGUUUCUGCAGAGAAAGAAUGUUGCGUUGAUAUAGCGAAGUAGGGCCGGAGAAAAUGUUUCUGGUAAAUAUUGUCUUAUUUCGAAGGUUGAGAGGUAAAGAAUGAAGUAGGAAAUUAAAGUAUAUAUUGACAGUGUGCUUGAUGAUAUAAUUAAAAAUAUAGCAAAAGGCAACGGCUAUUUUUACAGUUCUGUGAAUUAUAAAGAAAGUAGAAGAAUUUCUUUUUUAAAUGCACAAGCAAAUAGAAAUGACAUCGUCAUGGAAAAUAAUUUAGUCGGAUCUAAAGUCUAAGGUUCACUCCAAAGAAUUUAAGUAAAAGUAAUAGUAUCGUUGAAGCAGUUCGCUCGUUAUGAAAUUAUCUGCAGGAUAAUUUCCUUACUUGAUACAAAUGUAUCUGUUCGUAUUAUCGAUUAAAAAGCCAAAACU